UACGGAGGGUGCGAGCGUUGUCCGGAAUCACUGGGCGUAAAGGGCGCGUAGGCGGUCCGGUAAGCGUGUGGUGAAAGCCCGGGGCUCAACCCCGGGUCUGCCGUGCGAACUGCCGGACUCGAGCACUGUAGAGGCAGGUGGAAUUCCGAGUGUAGCGGUGGAAUGCGUAGAGAUUCGGAGGAACACCGGUGGCGAAGGCGGCCGCCUGGACCUGACCUGACGCUGAGGCGCGAAGGCGUGGGGAGCGAACGGG
rnacentral:rRNA from 1 species